UACAGAGGGGGCAAGCGUUGUUCGGAAUUACUGGGCGUAAAGGGCGCGUAGGCGGCCUGUUAAGUCGGACGUGAAAUCCCUCGGCUCAACCGGGGAACUGCAUCCGAAACUGCCUUGCUAGAGUAUGGGAGAGGGAAGUGGAAUUUCCGGUGUAGCGGUGAAAUGCGUAGAUAUCGGAAGGAACAUCAGUGGCGAAGGCGACUUCCUGGACCAAUACUGACGCUCAGGUGCGAAAGCGUGGGGAGCAAACAGG
rnacentral:rRNA from 1 species